GACGAACGCUGGCGGCGUGCCUAAUACAUGCAAGUCGAACGCAGUGGGGACGGGUGAGUAACACGUGGGUAACCUCCCAUCAGAGGGGAUAACACUUGGAAACAGGUGCUAAACCGAUACUGAUGGAUGGACCCGCGGUGCAUUAGCUAGUUGGUGAGGUAACGGCUCACCAAGGCCACGAUGCAUAGCCGACCUGGAGGGGGGUACGGCCACACUGGGACUGGGAAACGGCCCAGACUCCUACGGGAGGCAGCAGAAGGGAAUCUUCGCAAAUGGACGAAAGUCUGCCCGAGCAACGCCGCGGGAGUGAAGAAGGUUUUCGGAUCGUAAACCUCUGUUGUUAGAGAAGCGGUAUCUAACCAGAAAGCCACGGCUAACUCCGUGCCAGCAGCCGCGGUAAUAC
rnacentral:rRNA from 1 species